CUGCAGGGUGUGUGUGAAUGUGUGUGCAUGUGUGUGUUAGUUUACAUAACAUUUUCCCUACAAUGUCAGGACAUUUUCUAAGUGAGGACUUUUUUUUUUGGCCCUCACUUUUUUUAGAAGCUUACUAUACUAGUUAGAGGUAUGGUGUGAAUUAUGUUUUAGUUUAGGUUAGGGUUAGUCAUAGGUCAGCAUUGGUUAGGGUUAGGAUCCAGCAGACGAGCUCACAUCACUCCAGUUUUACAGUCCCUCCGCUGGCUCCCGGUAGAAUAUAGAAUUCAGUUUAAAGUUUUAGUCCUGACCUAUAGAGCUCUUAACAACCAGGCUCCAAGCUACCUAUCUGAGCUUUUAUCCCCACACACCACCUCUCUGAACCUUAGAUCCACAUCUGAAAACCUCCUGGCUGUUCCUCGAACCAGACUGAAAACCAAAGGGGACAGGGCCUUUCAGACUAUUGCACCCAGACUUUGGAACAGUCUACCUUCAAAUCUCCGUCUCUCCAACACUGUAGAGGUCUUUAAAAAUCAUCCAAAAACUCACCUUUUCAUCCAGGCGUUCCCUCCCUAAAUGUUUCAAAAAGAUGGUUUUGUUUGGGUUCACACCUUCACUUUGUUUAUACUCAUGAUUUUAUUUUCUACUUUAUCACUGCUAUUGUUUUUCUGAUGUUUUUAUUGGUUAGAGGUAUUUGUCCUGAUCUUUAUCAUUUUGUACAGCGCUUUGUGAUUUAUAUCUGUGAAAGGCGCUCUAUAAAUAAACACUUACUUACUUACUUACUUACUUACUUACUUACUUAGGCACAGUGGAAUCACAAAAAUGAAUGGAAGUCAAUGGAGGGUCCUCACUGUUAUAGAAAAACAGACGUGUGUGUGUGUGUGUGUGUACUCGUCUAUACAUCAAAGUGAGGACCAAUGACAAGCUUUACAUGCAAACUAAGGACAUUAGUAGCGAAGUGAGGACAUUUAGUUAAAGUCCAUCUUCAUAAACAUGUUUUUAUUUGGUGAAAAAAUAAAGUUGAUCACACUUCAGUGCUGAAUAACUCAGAUGUUAUAGUUUGUCUUUACUUGUGGAAAAAGGCUGCUUCAACAAAAAUUAAGAACAUUUCUGUCACUUGAUGUUGUGACGCAGGAGGGGCAAGACAGCAGGGACUAUCACUCACCACAGCGUUAGCACAAAGUUCUCAAAAGUAUAAAUGGUAAAAGUUUAUUUAUGUGGAGGUUAUUCCAACCCUGGCUGUCUGGACAUGAGUUCAUCGAUUUCUAUUUCGAGCGUGGGUGAGGUUUGUUCAAGUUGGACGGCAAGAUUUCACCACAAGGAGUGUAUCUUCUAGCUCUGUAGUGUGUGGCGAGCAUUUUUGCGAGGACUAUAAUGAAAGUGACUUGAGUGAGCAGAAGAUGGGUUUCAAAAGCAAGGAUAAGGUCGGGCUGAAGCCCACCGCAUUAUCAUCAGUACACAGCAGAGGCAGUCGACAGCGGGAGACACAACAAGGAGGUGAGAUGGCGUCCACAACAAUGGCUACUCCAGGGUAGAGCCGCAGCAGAUUCAAGACUCCACGAGGAACUGCUGCUUGGAAACUUGAAGUUUGUUUGGUAAUUAUGACUUUUACAUCUACACAUCUGAGAUUUUGUAGUAACAUAGAAGUGUGAUUUUCCAAUGAGUUUAAUUUGAAAUCUCUCUGUUUAUUACUGUUUACUCAGAAGAGAAGCUCAUUAGCAUCUGGGUGAGCAGCUAAGGGCUAAUGUUUGUGUAGCUGUAGCCUGUAGGACAUGGCUGGUGAAUAGGGUUGUCACGGUAUGAAAAUUUAACCUCACGGUUAUUGUGACCAAAAUUAUGACGGUUUUCGGUAUUAUCGCGGUAUUUUUUAAGCGGUGUUGCAUAUGUUCAGAAAGCAUUGAUAGUCCUGUUCUACACAAACUGAAAUAGUUCUGAAAAGGUUUAACAGUGUUUAUUAAACCUAAAAUAACACAAAGCCUUAGCAAAAGUGCAACUUUUCACAAGUAAAGGAACAAAUAGCUUCUCUUUCUGGAACAUGUUACAGUAGUCAGUGCAGGUUUAAAUGAUACAAAUCCAAACAUUCGAAACAUAAACAAUAUGUAAACAAAUCAAAGAAACACCACUUGUUUUCUCAUAUACUUGUUUUCUUCAUUAUCAAAAUGAAAAUCUAAAACUCCAGUCCACACUUGACUUGAGCGCUGUACAAGUCAACCUUAAAAAAAUAUGUAUUUAAAACAAACAGCCACUUUAAACAAAUUACUAAAAUAACUACUACACUAUGUAAUCAAAUCCAAAUGUUCAAGUAUAAAUGGCAUUGAAUAAGUAAACAAAUCAAUGACAAGGAACUAAUUGUAUAUUUCUCUUCAUCAUCAACAAAUAAGAUGCUUCAUCCAGCAACAGGGUGUCCGUGACACGGUUUAAAUGCUGCCAGAGGACGCUGCGGCUGCAGUAUAUAGUGACUCGUUGCAUUCUCCCUCAACCAAAAGUCCUCGCGUCAUGCAUUUAAGCUAAAAUGCUAAUGUUAACUUACCUUGCACUGGCUGUAGAGACGUGGGUGAUGGUCACGCAGAUGUGCCUUUAGAUUCGAAGUGUUGCUGCCUUUUGCAGACACUUGUUUCCUGCAUGUUCUGCAAACGGGAUAGCAGUCUUCUAUUAACUGUCCCUCAGCAUUUUUCAGAAAUCCAAAAUAUGCCCAUACUUCCGAUUUAGUCUUCUUUGAGGGCUGAUGGAUGUCCUGGGCGCUGCCGUCUCCUCCUUCGGCCGUUAUUUCAGCUUCAAAGUUUUGGUGCCGUUGCAAACUAAAAAGUGCGUGUGCGCGCCGCGGGAACUUCAGCUGAAGCGACGGUGGCUGGUAAGGGUCAUCGCGCCGAAACCGCGGCCACGGUAAACCCACCGAGAUAAUAUAGUUUUUUAAAAACUGGACGGUUAUUUUUAUUGUCAACUUUUUUACCGGGGUUUACCGCUAUACCGGUUACCGUGACAACCCUACUGGUGAAUAAAGACAACAGGUUAGCGCCCAAAAGGGAAAUAAAACAGAGGACACAGUGAAUGGCAUCUUUGACAAUGGUCCUUGUCAGACAAGUGACCUGCAUGUCAACCACACCCCCUUAGCGCCAUUGGUUAAUGCAACUCCAGCCUACAUUUAACUUCAUGUGAUGACAGCAUGGCAGCCCUUCACAACAGGAGUGUACCAUUUUCUGCAGUUUAAGAAGCUCACAACAACACAAAGUGAACAGUGCUUCCAUUGUUUAUACACCUAGCUAUCCCAUCAUGCAACAUGCUACAGCACCUGAUACGUCACCUGACAAGGACCGAUAAGGCCUGGUAAGCUGGUCCUACACAUGUAAAUGUGCAUACAGAGCUAGGUCUUUUUCUGUUGCUAUAGUUGGUCUUUUUUUCUCAGCUAGAAACAUUAUAAACUGUUAUAUAAUGUUCGCUGACAUGUUCAGAUUUUGAAAAUAACUCUUCCAUAUACAUUUGUACUUGUGUUUUAUAGAUAAUGGCAGAUGUAACGUCACAAGUGGAAGCAGAGCUCAUUCCUGAUGCUGCUGAAGCUCAUGAGGAUGUGACAGAACAGAGUCUGUCUGCAGAUGACCCCAGCUGACCUCGGUGAACUGUGCAACUAGAGGCAACUCAUUAGUCUCCGAUCAUCAGGUCUGUCCAAGAAACUUGACACAGUCAUCUGAGAGCGGCAUUGGGAUGAUGUGGCUCUGUGGACGCAGUCCAUAGUGAACUAUCUGUACUGGGCCGCUGCUUCCACGCCUGAUGGCAACGAUGACAUGUUGGAGGCGAAAUGGAAAUGAAUCAUGUUCAGGACAUCCAUGAACAUGAGACACCUGAAUUUCCCAUUUGUCUCCAUCCUCCACUGGAAGCAGGAACAAGCAGUGUCUGGUUCCAGGAUCAACUUCAGCAGUCAAGUUGGAGAAGGCAACAUUUCAGCUAGGAUGUGAGGCAGCUGUACCCUCAGCACCAAACACACUCACUAGAGGUGUUCCACUCCCUCAUCCUGACAUUUACUCUUAAGCAUACAGGUUCUCAUACCUUGGCAUGAACACCAGGCAAGUUUUAUUCAGCUAGAAUUUCAUUUUGUUAUAUAUUACUCAAAGGGGUUAUAUUGCAAGUUGUCAGGGACUGAGCAGUAAAACUCCAGGACAAUGGUUUAAAAAGAAUAUCUUCUCCAUUUAUUUCAAAAAUAAUUAACCAAAAUCAAAACAAAAAUGGGCCCAAAGGAAAAAAUGGCAACAAAAAUAACCUUAACUAAAAGUAACAAGCAAGACUGUCUCUAAAACUGAGACACACCGGGGAAUUUAUACACACAGGCUAGCCUACAGACAACGAGGAGGGGAGAGACGGGGAAACACUAAGACAAACAGUAAAUAAACCUAGGAAACUAAGUCAACAAAAUAUAACUACCACAAAAGUUUUACUAAUACAUCCUAACAAAAUCUGGUAAACUCAAUUAGAGCUUCAGAACAUCUGGUUUCUAGUUUCUUCAGUAUCAAGUCCCCUGCUUCCAGCAGCCAGAUGGAAUGUUCCACUUCCUGCCUGGAGUUACACUGGGCGUGUCCUCUCUCUCUCUGCUAGUUCAUCCAAUCUCAGCAGAACAAAUGAAAAUAGUUAAUGAUCAAAUAAACUAUGUAUAAGAUAAAUUACUAAAUGUGUGCACCCAUUAGUAAACAUCUUACAAUAUUGCAACAAAAUGAAAUAAUAAACCAGCGUGUGGAAAAAAAUAUUUAAAUACUAACACUGAGAAAUGGCUGGAGGAACCUCCACACAAGUCAUUAUUUAAUCAAUUAAAACAUAUUUGUAUUCUGCAGUUUCAAACUGUUUCUAAAACUGUUAAAUAUUUCAGACUGUUGCUAUCAGCCAUUCAUUACAACAGCAACAGGUACAGGAACUGGCCAGAACCAAGGAGGGUAUGUUGUGUGUUACCCUCAUUUUAAGGAAGGUGGCUGGUCCGUGCACCCUGUCAAAGUGGAACCAACAUAUGGUAAAUGCAUUUCUUAAUAUGUGUGUGGAUGCAUACUUUUACAUGCAUGUUCAUCAUAUUGAAAUGACUACAAUAACAGAUUAUGCCACAGCACUUCUCAGCCGGGUGCGGGACGCCUACGCCAACCACCCAACAGGACUAAACAGAGCAACAUCUGGAAUCAAAUCAGCUGAUCCUGAACCAGUGACAGCCAUGUAUGACCGAGUGGGCCAGAAUGACGCCAUUGCACAGCAUGUCAGAAAGUCACGGUUUUCAGCACAAGUACAUUUCUGUAGCUUUUAUUGACACUGGGUAGAUUUUUCGGUAGUCACCUUUUUGUGUGGAAUAAUAUUUAAUAAUCAUUAAAAACCAAGCAACAAGUUCUUUCACAAUUUUAAUACAUUUUUAUAAGUUCAUGCAAACAUUGAUUUACAUUUUUUUACAGACACCACACUAGUUCAGAUCAGGCCAGUGGAAGCCUCUGUACUGGUCAUCUUCACCUGGAAAGGCUGCUCUGAUGGCGUUCACCACACAUGAUGGUGGAGGCUUGUGGAUGAGUCGCCCAAUGAUGUCAUGUGCCCAUCGGAUCAUCUGCCUGUAGGCUACAUAGAGAUACCGCCUGCUAUGUAAACAUUAUAAAAAGAUGAUCUCCUCACCUGAAAAGCUUACUUUUCAAAAUUAUUUCUGUUACUUUUAUAUAUUCUGUUCCAUAUAUAUUUAUACAUUUAUUGUGUACUAUAUUAUACUAUGCUGUUUAUGUAUGUAUUUCACUAAUGUUGUGUCUCACCCCUACCUUUGAUAGUAAAAGUUCAGAGGUGCUGGAGCUUUACUCCUUUAAUUGAUGUAUUAUUGUAGACCAGGUUUGUAAGAAUGUGUGAUUGUGAAAACAAAGCAUGAUAUUAAAAUGUUUUAAAACUUCAAAACAAAAAUGGAAGAAUUACUAGUGAAGUAAUAUUGCUAGUUAUCCUUGACACUAAAUUUAUCGUUUGAGACAUUAAAUCUGUUCUACGAAUACCAAA